GCCAGUAGCCGCGGUAAUUCCAGCUCCAAAGCGUAUAUUAAAGUUGUUGCAGUUAAAAAGCUCAUAGUUGAACUUUGGGCCCGGUUGGCCGGUCCGAUUUUUUCGUGUACUGGAUUUCCAACGGGGCCUUUCCUUCUGGCUAACCUUGAGUCCUUGUGGCUCUUGGCGAACCAGGACUUUUACUUUGAAAAAAUUAGAGUGUUCAAAGCAGGCGUAUUGCUCGAAUAUAUUAGCAUGGAAUAAUAGAAUAGGACGUUUGGUUCUAUUUUGUUGGUUUCUAGGACCAUCGUAAUGAUUAAUAGGGACGGUCGGGGGCAUCAGUAUUCAAUUGUCAGAGGUGAAAUUCUUGGAUUUAUUGAAGACUAACUACUGCGAAAGCAUUUGCCAAGGACGUUUUCAUUAAUCAAGAACGAAAGUUAGGGGAUCGAAGAUGAUCAGAUACCGUCGUAGUCUUAACCAUAAACUGUGCCGACUAGGGAUCGGGUGGUGUCUUUUUAAUGACCCACUCGGCACCUUACGAGAAAUCAAAGUCUUUGGGUUCUGGGGGGGUAUGGUCGCAAGGCUGAAACUUAAGGAAUAGACGGAAGGGCACCACCAGGAGUGGAGCCUGCGGCUUAAUUUGACUCAACACGGGGAAACUCACCAGGUCCAGACACAAUAAGGAUUGACAGAUUGAGAGCUCUUUCUUGAUUUUGUGGGUGGUGGUGCAUGGCCGUUCUUAGUUGGUGGAGUGAUUUGUCUGCUUAAUUGCGAUAACGAACGAGACCUUAACCUACUAAAUAGUGGUGCUAGCAUUUGCUGGUUAUCCACUUCUUAGAGGGACUAUCGGUUUCAAGCCGAUGGAAGUUUGAGGCAAUAACAGGUCUGUGAUGCCCUUAGACGUUCUGGGCCGCACGCGCGCUACACUGACGGAGCCAGCGAGUCUAACCUUGGCCGAGAGGUCUUGGUAAUCUUGUGAAACUCCGUCGUGCUGCGGAUAGAGCAUUGUAAUUAUUGCUCUGUCAGACGAGGAAUUCCUAGUAAGCGCAAGUCAUCAGCUUGCGUUGAUUACGUCCCUGCCCUUUGUACACACCGCCCGUCGCUAGUACCGAUUGAAUGGCUUAGUGAGGCCUCAGGAUCUGCUUAGAGAAGGGGGCAACUCCAUCUCAGAGCGGAGUAAUUUGGACAAACUUGGUCAUUUAGAGGAAC
rnacentral:rRNA from 1 species